UCGAAGUCGACCGACGACUCGCUCUUCCUGCUGACCACCUGCGAUAAGAGAUUGCGAUUUUAUGCAACUUUGAAUCUCUGAUCAUGGACAUUGGCCAGCCGUGCUGUUUAAUAUAGUCCAAGCUUAGAUAAGCGGGGAAUUGUUUAUUAAAUGAUUAACUGUGAACUUUGAUGUCAACUGAUAGAUGGGGCGUUUGAUCUGGAUUAAACUGAGUGGUCAAUAAGGAGCUUUCGCCUUCGCUAAAUCCAAGAUCAGAAGAGGGAGGUUUUUUAAACAAUUGUUAACAAACCUCGCUGUCAAU